CGUGGGGCAGCAGGGGCGUAGCAAUACGCUCGCUGGCGACCGGCUAACGGGUGCGGAACACGUACACAACCUUCCUUAAAGUGGGGGAUAGCCCGGGGAAACCCGGAUUAAUACCCCGUAACAUAAUGAAGUGGCAUCGCUUUAUUAUUAUAGCAGCAAUGCGCUUAAAGAUGGGUGUGCGACUGAUUAGGCAGUUGGCGGGGUAACGGCCCACCAAACCUACGAUCAGUAACUGGUGUGAGAGCACGACCAGUCACACGGGCACUGAGACACGGGCCCGACUCCUACGGGAGGCAGCAGUAAGGAAUAUUGGUCAAUGGACGCAAGUCUGAACCAGCCAUGCCGCGUGGAGGAUGAAGGUCCUCUGGAUUGUAAACUUCUUUUACCUGGGAAGAAAUCCACAAAUUCUUUUGUGGUUGACGGUACCAGGUGAAUAAGCACCGGCUAACUCCGUGCCAGCAGCCGCGGUAAUACGGAGGGUGCAAGCGUUAUCCGGAUUCACUGGGUUUAAAGGGUGCGUAGGUGGGUUGGUAAGUCAGUGGUGAAAUCUCCAGGCUUAACUUGGAAACUGCCAUUGAUACUAUCAAUCUUGAAUACCGUGGAGGUCAGCGGAGUAUGUCAUGUAGCGGUGAAAUGCUUAGAGAUGACAUAGAACACCAAUUGCGAAGGCAGCUGGCUACGCGGAUAUUGACACUGAUGCACGAAAGCGUGGGGAUCAAACAGGAUUAGAUACCCUGGUAGUCCACGCCCUAAACGAUGGAUACUCGACAUACGCGAUAUACUGUGUGUGUCUGAGCGAAAGCAUUAAGUAU
rnacentral:rRNA from 1 species